AUUUUUUGUCCAAAAUUUCAGCGAUCCCUCCUGAAGUUGAAGUCUCCUCCCUAAGUUGAAGUCAAUUUCAUCUAAAAUUCGUCAAACAAUGAACGAAUCGUCUACAUAUUUGAGGAUUACCAGAGGUAGUCCUUUGCAUGUCAAUGUUGUUGACAUUUUACCAUCCUUUUCAAUGGGGCUAACUCAAGAAUUUGGGGUUAAUGUAGGGUCUUUGGGAAAAUCAAAACAACUUAUACAAGAACAAACCAUGGAAGAGCUGAGAUCAAAGAAAAAAAACGACCCCAUGGCAGUUCAACAAGUUAUUAAAAAUGCCAAAGCUAGAGGCAUUAAAAUUGUACAAGGUACAAGAAAGAGGAAAGUUGUACUAUUUGAAUCAGAGGAAAAUGAUUGUGAAGUCGGAUCUGAAGAACUUCAUAAUCAUGAGAUAGUGUCUUAAAACACAAACUUAGAUACAAUUUUUUUGUUAAUUAGUUGUCAAUAUACAAAAACCAUUAAAUUAAGUAUUGUAUAUAGUA